rnacentral:rRNA from 1 species
AAGCGCUCUGCUGGCCCGAACCUGACGCUGAGGGACGAAAGCUAGGGGAGCGAAUGGGAUUAGAUACCCCAGUAGUCUAGCCGUAAACGAUGGAGACUAGGUGUUGCCUGUAUCGACCCGGGCAGUGCCGAAGCCAACGCGUUAAGUCUCCCGCCUGGGGAGUACGCACGCAAGUGUGAAACUCAAAGGAAUUGACGGGGGCCCGCACAAGCGGUGGAGUAUGUGGUUUAAUUCGAUGCAACGCGAAGAACCUUACCAGGGCUUGACAUCCCGCGAAUCCCGGCGAAAGUUGGGAGUGCCUACGGGAGCGCGGAGACAGGUGGUGCAUGGCUGUCGUCAGCUCGUGUCGUGAGAUGUUGGGUUAAGUCCCGCAACGAGCGCAACCCUCGUCCUUAGUUGCCAGCCUUAAGUGGGGCACUCUAGGGAGACUGCCGGUGAUAAACCGGAGGAAGGUGGGGAUGACGUCAAGUCAUCAUGCCCCAUAUGUCCUGGGCGACACACGUACUACAAUGGUCGGGACAGCGAGCAGCCAACUCGCGAGAGUGAGCUAAUCUCUCAAACCCGGCCUCAGUUCAGAUUGCAGGCUGCAACUCGCCUGCAUGAAGGAGGAAUCGCUAGUAAUCGCAGGUCAGCAUACUGCGGUGAAUCCGUUCCCGGGCCUUGUACACACCGCCCGUCACACCAUGGAAGUCGGCCAUGCCCGAAGUCAUUACUCUAACCGUUCGCGGAGGAGGGUGCCGAAGGCAGGGCUGAUGACUGGGGUGAAGUCGUAACAAGGUAGCCGUACCGGAAGGUGUGGCUGGAUCACCU